rnacentral:rRNA from 1 species
UACGUAGGGUGCAAGCGUUGUCCGGAAUUAUUGGGCGUAAAGAGCUCGUAGGCGGUUAGUUACGUCGGCUGUGAAAACCUGGGGCUCAACCCCGGGCCUGCAGCCGAUACGGGCUGACUAGAAUUCGGUAGGGGAGACUGGAAUUCCUGGUGUAGCGGUGAAAUGCGCAGAUAUCAGGAGGAACACCGGUGGCGAAGGCGGGUCUCUGGGCCGAUAUUGACGCUGAGGAGCGAAAGCGUGGGGAGCGAACAGG